AUUGAACGCUGGCGGCAGGCCUAACACAUGCAAGUCGAACGAGUGGCGGACGGGUGAGUAAUGUCUGGGAAACUGCCUGAUGGAGGGGGAUAACUACUGGAAACGGUAGCUAAUACCGCAUACCAUCAGAUGUGCCCAGAUGGGAUUAGCUAGUUGGUGGGGUAACGGCUCACCAAGGCGACGAUCCCUAGCUGGUCUGAGAGGAUGACCCGCCACACUGGAAAGGGGAACCGGUCCAGACUCCUACGGGAGGCAGCAGGGGGGAAAAUUUGAAAAUGGGCGGAAGCCUUGAGCAGGCCUGCCGGGGGUUUGGAGGAGGCCCUUGGGGUGUAAAGGACCUUCAGCGGGGAGGCGUUACCCGCAGAAGAAGCACCGGCUAACUCCGUGCCAGCAGCCGCGGUAAUUC
rnacentral:rRNA from 1 species